UUAAGACUCAAUUUAUUUUAGGCAUAUAUGGGCUUAUUAAAUUAGUUUGGGCCAAACCCACCAAGCCCGCCUAAUUAUUUCUCCAAAAUCUUCUCCAACGCCUACUAUUCCUUUCCUUCAUAUUUGUUCUCUUCCUUUUCUUUUUAUCUUGUUGGUUGGAACAAAAACUACAUAACAUAUGGGUAGAAGAGGAGGAAGUCGGCGGAACUUCCAGAGGCAGUGGCAAGAAGCUUUGUGCAUGUCUACGAAAACCCGACUCCACGGUCAUCUUUUUCCCUCCGAUCUCUUUUUCUGGAUAAACUUCUAGCUGCGCGGAAGAACUACUUUUUGAUAUCGGGGAUCAGCUCGAAGAACUAGGUAGGGACCUUAGUUAUUUGAUAAGUAUUCUUUUUGCAUAGAAUGUAUUUGAAUCUGUUACUACCUGAAACUUUUGUGUAGUUGGUUUAGUGAUGGGAUUGAAGAGAAAAUACUCUCUUUUGAGAUGCAUAUACAUAUUAGAGCUUGCUGGAUUGGAUAUAUAUAUAUAUAUAUAUCUAGGCCUUAUGGAAAGUAGGUUUUGAUGUAAGUAGUUUGUGUGAUAAUGGAUAUCGACGAAAUUUAGGGUCGAAAUUUCGGGUCAUGACAAUAUGGAACAAAUCACUCUCCAUA